rnacentral:rRNA from 1 species
GGCCUACACAUGCAAGUCGAGCGGUAGAGAGAAGCUUGCUUCUCUUGAGAGCGGCGGACGGGUGAGUAAUGCCUAGGAAUCUGCCUAGUGGUGGGGGAUAACGUUCGGAAACGGACGCUAAUACCGCAUACGUCCUACGGGAGAAAGCGGGGGAUCUUCGGACCUCGCGCCAUUAGAUGAGCCUAGGUCGGAUUAGCUAGUUGGUGAGGUAAUGGCUCACCAAGGCGACGAUCCGUAACUGGUCUGAGAGGAUGAUCAGUCACACUGGAACUGAGACACGGUCCAGACUCCUACGGGAGGCAGCAGUGGGGAAUAUUGGACAAUGGGCGAAAGCCUGAUCCAGCCAUGCCGCGUGUGUGAAGAAGGUCUUCGGAUUGUAAAGCACUUUCCAGUUGGGAGGAAGGGUAG